rnacentral:rRNA from 1 species
GAUGAACGCUAGCGGCAGGCCUAAUACAUGCAAGUCGAACGGUGUCUUCGGACAUAGUGGCGCACGGGUGCGUAACACGUAUGCAACCUACCUUACAUUGGGGGAUAGCCUUUCGAAAGGGAGAUUAAUACCGCAUAAGACAGUAGCUGGGCAUCCAGCAGCUGUUAAAGAUUUAUCGAUGUAAGCUGGGCAUGCGUCCAAUUAGCUAGUUGGUGAGGUAACGGCUCACCAAGGCAAUGAUUGGUAGGGGAACUGAGAGGUCAAUCCCCCACACAGGCACUGAGAUACGGGCCAGACUCCUACGUGAGGCAGCAGUAGGGAAUAUUGGGCGAUGGACGCAAGUCUGACCCAGCCAUGCCGCGUGCAGGAUGAAGGCGUUAUGCGUUGUAAACUGCUUUUAUACAGGAAGAAACGACUCUUGCGAGAGGCAUUGACGGUACUGUAUGAAUAAGCACCGGCUAACUCCGUGCCAGCAGCCGCGGUAAUAC